rnacentral:rRNA from 1 species
GACGAACGCUGGCGGCGUGCCUAAUACAUGCAAGUCGAACGAAGCUGUUUUAACUGGUGCUUGCACCGACUUAAACAACUGAGUGGCGAACGGGUGAGUAACACGUGGGUAACCUGCCCCAAAGCGGGGGAUAACAUUUGGAAACAGAUGCUAAUACCGCAUAACCACAGAAACCACAUGGUUUCUGUGUCAAAGAUGGUUUCGUCUAUCACUUUGGGAUGGACCCGCGGCGUAUUAGCUAGUUGGGAAGGUAAUGGCUAACCAAGGGAAUGAUACGUAGCCGAACUGAGAGGUUGAGCGGCCACAUUGGGACUGAGACACGGCCCAAACUCCUACGGGAGGUAGCAGUAGGGGAUCUUCCACAAUGGACGAAAGUCUGAUGGAGCAACGCCGCGUGAGUGAAGAAGGUUUUCGGAUCGUAAAACUCUGUUGUCAGAGAAGAACGUGUGCGAGAGUAACUGCUCGUGCAGUGACGGUAUCUGGCCAGAAAGCCACGGCUAACUACGUGCCAGCCGCCGCAGUAA